GACGAACGCUGGCGGCGUGCCUAACACAUGCAAGUCGAACGGAACUGUUUUGAAAGAUUUCUUCGGAAUGAAUUUGAUUUAGUUUAGUGGCGGACGGGUGAGUAACGCGUGAGUAACCUGCCUUCAAGAGGGGGAUAACAUUCUGAAAAGAAUGCUAAUACCGCAUGACAUAUCGGAAUCACAUGAUUUUGAUAUCAAAGAUUUUAUCGCUUGAAGAUGGACUCGCGUCCGAUUAGUUAGUUGGUGAGGUAACGGCUCACCAAGACCGCGAUCGGUAGCCGGACUGAGAGGUUGAACGGCCACAUUGGGACUGAGACACGGCCCAGACUCCUACGGGAGGCAGCAGUGGGGGAUAUUGCGCAAUGGGGGCAACCCUGACGCAGCAACGCCGCGUGAAGGAUGAAGGUUUUCGGAUUGUAAACUUCUUUUAUUAAGGACGAAAAAUGACGGUACUUAAUGAAUAAGC
rnacentral:rRNA from 1 species